rnacentral:rRNA from 1 species
UACGUAGGGGGCAAGCGUUAUCCGGAAUUACUGGGUGUGAAGGGAGCGUAGACGGUAAUGUAAGUCUGGAGUGAAAGGCGGGGGCCCAACCCCCGGACUGCUCUGGAAACUAUGUUACUAGAGUGCAGGAGAGGUAAGCGGAAUUCCUAGUGUAGCGGUGAAAUGCGUAGAUAUUAGGAGGAACACCAGUGGCGAAGGCGGCUUACUGGACUGUAACUGACGUUGAGGCUCGAAAGCGUGGGGAGCAAACAGG